rnacentral:snRNA from 1 species
GAAUGUGAAGGCACGCUAGCUGUGACAUUUGUCACUCCAGGGUUGAUAUGACUAAUCUGGCUGGCAAGGCAGGUGUGCCCUUCCUCCCUCACCACUCCAUGUGUGUCCCUCUGUGCUGCACGCUAAAUCCAAGAGGACAACCCUCCCUCAAUAGAGACAGACUGCUCUUGGUGGAG